rnacentral:rRNA from 1 species
CCUACGGGGGGCAGCAGUGAGGAAUAUUGGUCAAUGGACGCAAGUCUGAACCAGCCAUGCCGCGUGCAGGAUGACGGCUCUAUGAGUUGUAAACUGCUUUUGUACGAGGGUAAACCCCGAUACGUGUAUCGGGUUGAAAGUAUCGUACGAAUAAGGAUCGGCUAACUCCGUGCCAGCAGCCGCGGUAAUACGGAGGACCCGAGCGUUAUCCGGAUUUAUUGGGUUUAAAGGGUGCGUAGGCGGUUUGAUAAGUUAGAGGUGAACCGUCGGGGCUCAACCCCGAAACUGCCUCUAAUACUGUUAGACUAGAGAAUAGUUGCGGUAGGCGGAAUGUAUGGUGUAGCGGUGAAAUGCUUAGAGAUCAUACAGAACACCGAUUGCGAAGGCAGCUUACCAAACUAUAUCUGACGUUGAGGCACGAAAGCGUGGGUAGCAAACAGGAUUAGAUACCCCAGUAGUC